rnacentral:rRNA from 1 species
CGUAGGUGGCGAGCGUUGUCCGGAUUUACUGGGCGUAAAGAGCGCGCAGGCGGCUGGUCAAGUCCGAUGUGAAAGCUCCCGGCUUAACUGGGAAAUUGCAUCGGAAACUGAUCGGCUGGAAGGUGGGAGAGGGUAGCGGAAUUCCCGGUGUAGCGGUGAAAUGCUUAGAUAUGACAUAGAACACCAAUUGCGAAGGCAGUUGACUACGCCAGUAUUGACACUGAGGCACGAAAGCGUGGGGAUCAAACAGG